rnacentral:tRNA from 1 species
GGAAAUGUGCCCGAACAAAGGGGUUACUUUGAUAGAGUAAAACAUAGGAGUUUAAACCCCCUCAUUUCCU